ACUAAAAUAGCAAAAAUAAUGCGCAGGAUUUAGGUUCCUGAGAUGGAAGUCCUCUUUCUUUUAGUA
rnacentral:tRNA from 1 species